AACACAAGCACCAUCAGUCUCCAUACCUACCCACCCAACACAAACGGACAAAGGAGACAAGAAGAAUAAGAAUAAAGACCCAACAACCUUACCAACCCUCCAAACAAAAGUAAAUGACACCAAAAAGCUAAAAACAAAGUCAACACAGCUCACUCCUCACGACACAAACAAAUAACUAAACAAAAUACAAAGGAGAAAAGCUAUAAAAGGACCACACCACUCAAACAGUGGAAGAGGAACCCAACACUCAACACAUAGAGGAGGACACACACCAAGGAAUCGAGACACAAAGAUUCAAAGCAGAACCACAGCCUAGGAGACAGAUCGAAACAAAGAGGAUGAAGGGAUAGUAUAUGACUAUACCUUCAGAGAGUACUACUACACACAACAUUAUUAAUUAUAUUCUCUACAAUUUUUUAUUGUCUACGUUACUCGUAAAUUUUUUUUCUUUUAUUUUAUUUUUGUUUUCUGUCCAAGUGGUAUAAAUUAAGAGGGUUAUACGCCUAACUCUCUAUCCAUUGACCAUCAGUACGCUCACAGAAUAUAUAUAUAUAUUAACCAUCUUCUUCUUAUUGUAACUUGGUAUUUUUGGUUUCAUCGACCGAUUUAUGGCAAUUGCAGGCACCUCAAGUAGUACUACUACAGCUAGUGAUAAUAUGAGUCAAGAGAACGAGUCUUCCAACAACAACGUGCUUGCUCAGUGUGAGAACUUUUACUUCUUGCUUGCUCAGUGGUGCCACAAUUGUAGAUCAACAUAUAUGCAUAACACGAUGGGGCCAGUACAGAGAUGAAUUUGAUUUUUGGAACAGGUCUUCAGAGACUUGUGAAUCUAGUUCCAAGUUAAAGCCUCUCUCAAUGGCAUUACAGUCUCUUUCCCACGCUCUUAUCUCAAGAGCACAGCAGGUAAUUCUCUCGCUUUCUCUGUAAAUGAGUCAUUACAUAUAUCAUUUUGAAGCUUAUUAAAUCUGAAAUGAUGUAUAAGUUUAACUUUUAGUUGAUUGAAGUUGGUACUUUAUUUUGAAGAAUUUUUGAAUAAUUUUCAAGAUGAAUUUAUUAUAUCAAUUUUUUUAUCAAAGUUUGGAUUUGAGUAAUAUAAGAGGAUUGUAUUACUAAACAUCUUUUGAAAUA